CGGUCACAUCGCGCUGAAAUACCAGUUCUCGUACGAUCACCGACGUUAAGCAACGUCGAGUCUGGUCAGUACCUAAACGGGUGACCACUUGGGAAUACCAGCUGCUGUAAG